rnacentral:lncRNA from 1 species
AUAAUUGAAGCUGAUUUGUCUCUAGAGGACCUUGAACAGGCCGGCUCUCCGCAGGCAAGAAAGUUCAACAAAGCAAAGGGGAGAAGGGGGCGCGUGUCGUGUCCCCUGGGUCGCGGUGUGUACAGGUGAGGCGCAGAGAAGGGCAUAGCAAGGUAACUUCGCUGUUCCCUUUCCUCCCAGGUGGCGGGCGCGCUGGCUGGCCGGGGACGCGUAGAAGGGUAGCCUGGUAGACUGGGACGUCACCCUGGUUGUCAGUUGUGGGCGUGGCUUAUGCAGAUGACGGUCGCGCAGGGGCUGUCGCGUCCGCACCCGCCGCGGAAAGCGAGAUAUUUCUCACGCGGCGAGGGAGGGAGCGCGGGACCCUGGGUGUCAGCGGAGCGCCGAGACGGCGUGUGCGUCGGGGGAGACAUGUGGUGGAAUCUUUCUUUCUCUCGGAGCGCACGCAAGAGUUGUCCCCAGGUGCUCGGCGUGCACUGGAAAGGUGAAGAAGCCGAGGGCACGAGGCGGGUGCAGCGGCUCGACUCACCUACACACCGGCCUGCUGGUCCCGGGACGUUGGGGACGCUACCUGAGUGGGCAGGUCUUUGGUUUAUCCUCCGAAGUGAACAGACACACGUUCAGUGUCCUCAAGAAAAGUUAUGAAACACUCACAAGAAAUCAUAAAUUCAAAAGAAAUAAGUCUUCGGAGGGUAAAGAUGAUCAAAAUAUACUGUAUGAAAAAAUGUAAAUAGAAACAAAAACAGCUCGUGCUGC